UGUGGAAUCCUGGCUGUGUUUAAUUGGCGAGUGGCAGGCGGGCUUGGGAGACAGAGCAGGAGUGUGGGAGAUCUAAGGAAGCAAUUGGGACUCACAUGGAGAGGCAAAUGCUCUCACUGGCUUUACGAGCUGGGACUUUGACUUUCUGAGAAAGAGAGAGAGAAAGGAACAGGGAAAGGAAGGAAGAAACUCAACAGAGGCGGGGAACCACUGAGUUAGAGUUUGGGAGGGGGUACAUUUUUUUUUUUUUUACACAGUCAACAGAGAAGGGUUAAGGAUAUGGAAGGAAAGGAAGGGAGAGAUAGAAGGAGGAAAUGACAGAAUGAGCAACAAAGUGCAAACAGAAUGAAGGAUAGGUACAGGAAAGGCUGCAAUGGAGUGAGAGAAUAAGGUGGGGGGAGGUUGGGGGAGAAAGAGGCCCACCGCUGCAGAGAGGGCAAGAGCACUGACUGCAUACGGGAAAUGACAGAAGUUGAGGAGAGAGAGGUUGAGCGGGAAAGAGAAAGAGAGAAAAGGGGGAAAACUAGGGGAAGUUAGAAAAAAACGAAGGAAGGGGGAGGUGAGUCUUGAAAGGGAGAGAAAGAGGAAAGUAGCAGAGGAGAAGUUGAAAGUAGCGACAUGUGAGAAUAAGGAAGAGAAGGGGAAAAGUGGAGAAAGACAGUAGAGGAGGGAAAGAAAAAGACCUACGCAGAUGAGAAAAACAGCUUUAGUGAAUGGCCUGGGUGGGGAAACAGAGGGGAGGUAACUGGUUGUUUUGUAAGUCGUCAGCCUGGGCGGCUUUUAAUCUCCUACUGCUAUGCACUCAGAGAAGGCGGCAAAAGGAGAACGUGCACUCCAUCCAGCCCAGGACUACUGUCACCGCUGCCUACAACACGGACCAGCGUUAACACAUCACAGACAGGAGCUCAGUGAUUUCCAGUACCCAUCUCUGGAGCCCAGUUUAAGGUCGCACGUGUGGAGGGAGGACUUGUCUCUGCCUUUUCCUCUUGAUCUGGAAACACUUGAGGACAGGACGGGGAACCAUGACUUUCAUGACCUGCAGAGACGGCAGGUCUUCUUGGGGCCGAGUCCGUACCCUGUAUCUGAGAGGUGUAGCCCUCCAUGCUAUUUGUGGAGGGGGGUUCAGAUACCCAGAUGGGACCCCUGGCUUCCCCCAUCUACGUGUGUAUUUGAGAGAUCAGCGCUGGCACAGCCUGGGCAGGAGGUCACUGAUAGGCGAGUGCCAGACAGGCUUGGCAGACAUAGUGACUGUGGGAGGGAAUGGUACUAUCGUGAACUGCCACGCCCCCUCAAUGGUGGCCCCAAGCUGGCAAAGGUCAGGAGCCAGCGGUACUACAGGGAAGCUCAGAAUGUGUCAGAGAAGCAGCACUUUGAUCGCGUAAGCGAGGACUGUCGCCAGAAUGCGCAUCUACCGGAGCUAGAGUGGGACACUAGACAUAAAUCUGGAUAUAAUGGACACUGUGAAAAGAGACAUGUUACUUUUGAGGGUCAUGACGAUGGACACGAUAUGGACAAUAAUGGACCAGACAGUCCCAUCAAGAACCACUGUAAUGGAGCUAAGGCGUUUUUUUCAACAGAGGUUCCCCAGAGCAAAUUUACAGUCUUCAAGACAUCAGGCUCUAGGCUGCCAGUGAGUCAAAUCCAUGGCGGAGACACCAAACUGGUUCAAGCAGACAGGUCAGAGGUGACGGGAAACCAGAGUAACCACAGGAAGAGCCAGGGAACAGUGCGCGAGCAGAUCAAACAAGUGGUGACGGAGUUAGAGGAUGUGCUCAGUGGUCUCAAACAGGUUCAAAUGGAAAUGAAAGAGGUGGUCCAACAGAUUGAUGUUCUGACUUCCAACAUCGACUUGGGAGAGGAGGAGCAAAGACCAUUAAAUGGCCUGCCACUGGAACCCGCGCCCCAGGCCAACCGUAUUGGAGUCGUGGCGCUUGUCCAUAACACAAACAGAUCACCACAAAGAGACUGCGCACGUGCUGCUGUGAUUUCCGCUCCCCUUUCCGCUACAAAGAUUCACUCGAACCCUUCCUCCCGCAUUCAUGGUCUGAUGACUGCUGAGUCUGUAGACAGCAGCCGGAUGAAUCAUACGUCUGCUCUGGAGAUUCAAAAGACAAGGAGCACUGCCAAUGGAGACUGUGUGCGAGCCAGACCUCCCAAAGCCAAAGUCAAAGAUCUCCAGCAUCUUAGGAACAGAACAGAUCAUACACAGAAUCCUGACCCUCCAUACCCCCUAGCACCGAUUACCUUGCCUAAAACUCAGAGACCUCCACCGUACCCACACAACGGACUGGUCAAAGUACCUUCGAAGGAUUCAAAUGUCCCAAAGACGCCUCCUUACCCUGGAAAACAGAAGCAGCUAACCUCCACCAUGGUGUAAAGGUGGGGUGACAAAGGAAGUUCCACUGGUUUAGAGCUCUGAUUGCACUCAUGAGGACAACAACCACCCACACACACAGACACACAAAGAACGUAAAUAGGAUGUUUCCCCCCCCCCCCCCUCAGCAUCCACAUGGUUAGGUAACACAGGGAAUGCCAAAAAGAAGAGAUUGAUCCAAAGGCAGUGCAAGGACAUGUCACUAGAACCGAGAGUAUUUCCCAUGGAAAGCACUAGAAAUGGCCUGUCCUUCUCUCUGUUUCUCUCUCUCUCUCUGUGUGUCUCUCUCUAUCUCCCACACCUGACUGCACUUCACCCCCCCAAACAUGCUGCCCUUUUUGCCCUACCUGUGAACCAGCCUCAGACUUUUUGCCCUUUUAAAGAGGUAGCACUACAGAGGAAUAAGCUGCUCCUAAACUGGAUUAAAAAAAAAAGAAAAAAGGCUAGAAUCCCAAAUAUUAUGCAAACAUUUUCCCAAAGCUCGCCUGGGAUUCGCAGCUUGUGGGCGGACUGUUCAGAAGACCAAAGAAAAGCGAAAGUGAUUUAUUACUUUUUAUUAAUGGUUUAAUGUUUAAGAGAAAAAAAACCCCUACAGUGUAGAACUUGAAGAUUAUAUUCAACCUGUGUCUCUGCAUCAGUCUGUACACAUUAUAUUGCAAAUACUUCAUGAGUUAUUAAAAGCCAGUGUAAGGCAUUUAGUUUUGUAUUUAUAUAUGCUGUCCAGAAGAGGGCGCUACAGGCCAUAAAAGUGUCCCUGAACUUUUAUGAGGAAAACAGGAAAUAAAAAAGGAGAUUUUUUUCUCCUUUCAAAAA